GUAAGUCAAUUAAUCUGCUUAUCUGAAUGUGCUUCUGCAGAAAUUUAGGAACAGCUGAC
rnacentral:snoRNA from 1 species